rnacentral:lncRNA from 10 species
CCUCAUCCCUUAGGAACCUGAUGCUGAAAGAGACAGGGAGGCCAAUGGUUUUGGAUCCAUAAAGUGCUAGUUUUUAAAACCAGUCCUAGCCCAGCACUCCAGGACUGGCUUGCCCCCUAGGAUGUGACUGAAUUUGAACUGAAAAACUAACAGGCAGGGCCCUGGGCAGAUGCCUGAUAGAGCAUGAAGGUUCCACAAUGAAAUAUAGUAUUAAUACUAAGGGCAUAUCUUUUCUCACUAGCCUCCAUCCAACAUUUAUGGAAGCAACUGAAGUGAAGGAUCUAAUCAUCUUAGCCAUGUGCUCCUGGCCCAAACUUUAUAAGUAGCUUUAGAAGAAGUCUUCCUUGGCUCAGUGCUGGUGGAGAGAUCAACUGCCACCACCAUCCUGAGUAGCUUUGCGUCUUCCAUGGGAGAGAGUUAUCCACUGCCCUGUUUCUGAGCUGGCCAAAAAGUGGUGCCCAGUGGCCCACUCUAACCUUUAAAGCCUUCUUGUUUUUUGCUUCUUGAAUUUUUUUAUUGCAUCUUCUUUCCAGUGUGUGAGGUAGUCAAAUUUUUGCACUUUGGAAAUUGAAAGACAUUGUUAUACUUAGACUGUAUAGUGACACCAAGUGACAGGAAAGUAGUCAAAGUCUUUUUCUGCUAUCAGUUCUCCAACUGGUUGAGCCUGCUGCUUUGUGUAAGUAUGUAUCUUUCCUUUUGCAGAAGCUGUUUAUGAGAAUAUCACAUCUUGUAUGAAUAGCUUUACGACAUUUACAGUCACGAAGGUCAAAUAGCCCUAAUGUUAACCACAGCUAUAGUUAACAGAAACUCAGGAGUGGGUAAGAUAAGCCAGCCUUCAGUGCCCUUUCCAAACAGUCAUCAGUUCUGUAAAAAUUAGUAUAAGCAGUAACUUCUCUCCACAAAACAUAAAGAAAAUACUGCAGCAAAGGAUAAAGAAAUGGUUCAGAAUGCUGCUUGCCCACACUCAUCCACCAGGGAAAUCCAGCUGAGAAGAUUAGAAGCCAUACUCUCCUGAACUCAGAAAGAUGCCCACACUGCUACUCAAAUUGCUUCUCCUAGUGCUUCCCUUCCCUGGAGCAAUCUAAGUGUGUUUUGUUUUAUUUUGUUUUUCUUUGCUAUGUUGUUCUUGGUGGUGGUGGUAGCAGCAAUAAAAAGUAAGUGUAAAGGUAAUUUGACAAUAAUCUUGACCCUUUUCUCUGGAUCUAAUAAGAGGACUAAAACAUUAUUUCUCAAAGAUGGGAACAUGGAGCACAUACAUAAGAAUUACCUGGAAUUCUUGCUAAUACUGUAGAUUCCAGGGCUCUCUCUCAUCCCUAUUAGACAGAUCUCUGUAUAUCAGACUCAAAUCAGCACAUUUCCUACUUCACAUAUUAAAUUCUAAAAUUUGAAGCUAAGGCAGAAAGCAUAAAAUACAUUCUCAAAGACAGUUUUUUGUAUCCUGAGACCUUGCUGAAGUUGCUUUUCAACUUAAGGAGAUUUUGGGCUGAGACGAUAGGGUUUUCUAAAUAUACAAUCAUGACAUCUACAAACAGGGACAAUUUGACUUCCUCUUUUCCUAAUUGAAUAUCUUUUAUUUCUUUCUCCUGCCUGAUUGCCC